rnacentral:rRNA from 1 species
AGAGUUUGAUCAUGGCUCAGAGCGAACGUUAGCGGCAGGCUUAACACAUGCAAGUCGAGCGAGAAAGGGGCUUCGGCCCUGAGUAAAGCGGCGGACGGGUGCGUAACACGUGGAUAAUCUGCCUUUUAGUGGGGAACAACAGUCCGAAAGGAUUGCUAAUGCCGCAUGUCACGGCGGAGACCCCGGUCUCUGUCGGAAAA